rnacentral:rRNA from 1 species
GAUGAACGCUGGCGGCGCGCCUAACACAUGCAAGUCGAACGGUUAAAGCAUCUUCGGAUGUGUAUAAAGUGGCGAACGGCUGAGUAACACGUGGGCAACCUGCCCUUUGCACUGGGAUAGCCUCGGGAAACCGAGGUUAAUACCGGAUACUCCAUAUUUGUCGCAUGGCGAAUAUGGGAAAGCUCCGGCGGCAAAGGAUGGGCCCGCGGCCUGUUAGCUAGUUGGUGGGGUAGUGGCCUACCAAGGCAAUGAUGGGUAGCCGGGUUGAGAGACCGACCGGCCAGAUUGGGACUGAGACACGGCCCAGACUCCUACGGGAGGCAGCAGUGGGGAAUCUUGCACAAUGGGCGAAAGCCUGAUGCAGCGACGCCGCGUGCGGGAUGAAGGCCUUCGGGUUGUAAACCGCUUUCAGCAGGGACGAGGCCGCAAGGUGACGGUACCUGCAGAAGAAGCCCCGACUAACUACGUGCCAGCAGCCGCGGUAAUACGUAGGGGGCAAGCGUUAUCCGGAUUCAUUGGGCGUAAAGCGCGCGUAGGCGGUCUGUUAGGUCAGGAGUUAAAUCUGGGGGCUCAACCCCUAUCCGCUCCUGAUACCGGCAGGCUUGAGUCUGGUAGGGGAAGAUGGAAUUCCAAGUGUAGCGGUGAAAUGCGCAGAUAUUUGGAAGAACACCGGUGGCGAAGGCGGUCUUCUGGGCCAUGACUGACGCUGAGGCGCGAAAGCUAGGGGAGCGAACAGG